rnacentral:rRNA from 1 species
UACGGAGGGUGAAAGCGUUAUCCGGAUUCACUGGGUUUAAAGGGUGCGUAGGUGGGCAGGUAAGUCAGUGGUGAAAUCUCCGGGCUUAACUCGGAAACUGCCAUUGAUACUAUCUGUCUUGAAUACCGUGGAGGUCAGCGGAAUAUGUCAUGUAGCGGUGAAAUGCUUAGAUAUGACAUAGAACACCAAUUGCGAAGGCAGCUUACUACGGAUCGAUUGACACUGAGGCACGAAAGCGUGGGGAUCAAACAGG